rnacentral:lncRNA from 1 species
UACGCGGAGCAGGCAAGCCAAAGCUGUUUGCAAACAAGCGUCCUCUGCCUCCCUCCGGGAUGUGCUCGAAGGGCCCUGGGAAGGAAGGCACGCUCGGCCCCGCCCGGGACAAACGCGAAGGGCACCGGUGCGGCCGCCAGCCCGAUCUUCACGUACCCGGCCGCGCCGGAACCCAGGCCCGGCUAAGGGCUUCCCGGCGACUCGGGGCCUAGUCGCCCCCCGCACGCCUUCAAUCUCCCGGGGACCCACGGAGAAAGGGCCGAGGCCCCAGAGCUCCGGGGUGCCCGCGGCGGCCGCACUGGCAGGACGCUCCGUCCGCCCGGCCCAAUAGCUGGCGCCAGGACCCCUGGGCGGCGCAAGCAGACGAGCCCCGAACCGCAGCGCGCCACACUCACCGCCUCUCCAUGGCCCGGGGGUCGUCACUCAGCCGAGAGCCUCGUCCUCAGCGGGGCUCCGCCGCGAAGCCUCGCACUCCUGAGGGGGCUGCGGUCUCAGCGGCCGGGACUGAGGCCCAGCGCCCCUCCAGCCGCCUCAGCCACGCGGGUCCGGGAAAGCGCGGCCGAGCGCGGCCGAGCGCGGCCGGGGGCGCAGCUUACGGCGGGACAACCGAGGCGAUGCAGGCAGACGGGCUCGGCGAAGCCUCGGGCGCCGCCGCGGUGGCCGCUUCAGCCGCCCGCGCCGCUGGGCCACAGCGCCCCCUGGACCCCACGUCCCGCUACGGCGCCGGGACUGCGGCGGCCGCACCGGGCACGAGCGGCAGGGAACGCGAGGCAGCGCGGCCUGGGGGUGGCGGGGCCCCGUGCGCCCUGCGCCGCCCGCGGCCCGUGGCCCGCCCCUGACGCGGCUUCCCGGGAGCCGGAAGCUGUCGGCUCCCCCCACACCCCACCCCCGUCAGACCCCAGCACCUUUUUCUUCCCUCCAAGAAGGUAUGUGAAUGCUUUCGUCACUCGUCUCCGAGAGCGGGAAUGUGAGGGAAUCUCGGUUCAUUUCUCGUGGAGACAGGGGGUCCCUUUUAAUUCCCUCAGUGCGUCAGUAUGAAAGGAGCGUGACCCAGAACAAAUCCCUUUUUUCUUUUCCUAAGCACAUGCACAAUCCCUUCCCAAAGCAGAUAAAGGAAUCAUCUUUGACCUCAACUUUUUUGGAGCUACUGUGCAGAUUCACUACAGAAAUGUGCUAUAGAAUUCCUUAAACCCUAUCCUUACCUACAAAGUAGGGGGGAGAAAACAAAAAACAAACAAAC